GAACAUCAUUUUCACUUGGCCUAUCCGGCCUGAUUUGUCUGAUUCAGUUAAUCCGCAAAGGUUGAAAUGCGCUUUGCAAAUUUAUCAGCUUGUUUGUGUGUGUGUGAGAGAGAGAAAAAGAGAAAAUAAUGGAUACAUAUUUUAUGUAGUAGUCUCGAAUCACUGAUCUACAGCUAGUUGUCGUCGAAGGCUGAUUACUACAUAUUAAAACAAAUCUUUAUCUAGUAAUCAGUUAAACAUUUUCAAAAUCCGUUCCUCCUUAUUUAAAUUUCAUUUUUUUAAACUAAUGUCUACAUGAGGUGUCACAAAAGCCAAUAAAAUAACCCCAGGGUCGGAGUGAGAAGAGACAAACUCCCGCUGCACUGAGGUGCCAACUUGAAACGAAUUAAUAGUGUUCAAGAUGCUUAGCGGAUAAUUUAAACGAAUUAUAUUGGAAACGACUACUGAAUAAUAUUGAUAGUUACGACCGUGAUGUUGCAGGAAAGACUAUUUUACGUGCAAGUGUUUAAAAGAUGUCCAACAUAUGGCGAAAAAAGACAACACACGUGUCAGGCCACUUUAGGGUAAUGAAGGGCGAGGUAUCCAUAUUGCUUUUUAAUAUUUCCUUUAUCGAAGUAGUCUACUCAUUGAUUUUUCCACCCUGAAAUGAUGUUUCUGCUUGCCAGGUAGGAUUAUAUAGAACGACUUUCAGCUCUUUCGCAGAUUGAGGCACAGAGCCGAGAGACUGUUACAUUCCGCCACAGUAAAACAGUUUUCUUGAAAAAGACAGAAGCCUUGCCGCUAUGCCCUGCACUUCAUAAAUCACAUCUUUAUAUGGACAAGGUCAGGGCACCUAACAGCUCAGACAUAGGUCUUUGCAGAGUUUCUGCACACUAAGGCAUGUUUAUUCUCCAGCACAGAUCUCUGAGGAGCAGUCCAGCACGCCUCUAAUUACUUUUGAUUAUUUUCAUUUGUUGGGGGUCAGCCUUGCUUGCCAGGGUUGCUGCGGGCUGAUUUACUACAAAUUCCAUGCCUUUGAGGGACCGAAUGGUGUGUUUUUUAGAAUUAGCACCGGUUAUUCUGCCUCCUUCUUGCGGUGUACUGUAAACAGGAAACCAAGACGGGAGACUGUCCUUUAGGCAGAUGCAUAGCAGUUCCUCUCUUCGCCUUUAAUGAAGCAGAAAGCUUGAUUAUUUUACACCGGAGACGCACUGAUAGAAUAUUGUGUUGUGCAGAACGCGAGCUCGCUUCCAAACUCCAGAGAACAACUCCUCCACUGUCAGUAUACCAGUGGCUGACAGAUUUUUUAAUGUCAUUAGCAACGGUUAGAUUGUCAGACACUGUACUUCGGAUAGGAUGUUAUUGCUUUAGAUUUACUGGAGGAGUGGCAAGACCGAGGGAUUCCAGUGAUGUGAAAAGACUAUAUGGAAGCUGGGAUUAUUCUCCAAGAGCACAGCAAGCUUUGGCUUUGCUCUUCUCUCGUUUUCUGCCAAGCUCGGCUUCCUGUCCAAGAGAUUUGGCACAUGACCUUUGCCAGGCCUGAAUUACUGGGAUAAAAUGGAACGAUGGCCAAGCAAGUUCUCCAAAGCAAUCAAACACUAAAGAGAACCACCCUGUACUGGGCCAGAAUUUCUCCCACUCCUUUUAGCUUAAUACUUCUGAACAGCAUUCUAAACACUGUGCUGACCUUACCAAUUCGCUAUUCAUUCUUUUGUUGCAUGUAUAAGAAUAUAGUUUCAUAUACUGAUGAUAGAAGUGUUAACAGUAUUGAAUAUUGUAUUAGUUAUUAUAUACGUGUUAAUGCAAGCAUUAAUGUCCAAUGCAUGUAAUACUAUUCUGAAUUGAUUGAAAUCUUAAUGAAUAUGUUGAACUAAUAAUAACUAUCUUAAUAAAACAAUUAUGAAAUUAAAAUUAUUUUUUUAAUGAAAUUGAAGAGUGAUGAACAGUUUUAUUUCCAUAAAUAAAAUGAAGUGAAUUCCUUUUUCCUACACUCUGCAUUAUCUCACUACAAUGAACCUUGUCUGACUACAAAUGACUUUCCAGGAUUUUGAUAUUUGUUUUUGUGGAUGGAGUAUCACAUUAACCUUUUGCCCUUUCAUAUCUGUACACACUUUCUCUCCUGUUACAAGCCAUGUCUUGUUCUGUGGGUGGAGCAGCAGUGCGUAUCCAUAUACUACCUGGACCAUAUACUACUGCGUAUAUCCAUAUACUACAUAUAUAUUUUUACGGAAGUCAAUUAACCUACAAACCUGUACACCUUGGGGAUGUGAGAAGAAACUCCCCGAGCACCUGGAGAAAACCCACGCGGUCACAGAAAGAAUGCACAAACUCUGUACGGACAGUUCCCAUUGUCAGGAUGGAACCAGGGUCUCUGGCACUGUAAGUUAGCAACUCAACUGCUGCACGACUGUGCUGCUCCUUGAGACUAUUAAGGGCCUAUCCCACUUG